rnacentral:tRNA from 1 species
GCGCCCGUAGCUCAGCGGAUAGAGUAACGGACUACGAAUCCGGAGGUCGGAGGUUCGAAUCCUCCCGGGCGCGCCA